AGCACCAGCACAAGGAAAUGUCGAUGCAAACGAUUCUGCUCAUCCAAUGAAUAUGCAGACUCCGCAUGCACUCAUGGUUAUCUCCACUGUUGUAAAAUCAGAGGGAAGGCACACAGAACUCACAAUAGAGACAGAGGAAAGAAAAAACAUCACUCUACUUAUGAGACUUUGUCAUCCACCUAUAAUCCAGAUUACCCCAAAAGCACCAGCAUAAAGAAAUGUCGAUGCAAACGAUUCUGUUCAUCCAAUGAAUAUGCAGACUCCGCAUGCACUCAUGGUUAUCUCCACUGCUGUAAAAUCAGAGAGAAAGUGCAUGGGACUCAUCAUAGAGACAGAGGAAAUAAAAAACAUCCUUCUCCUUAUGAGUCUUUCACAUCCACCUAUAAUCCAGG